GGCGCAUUCUUCUAACGGUUAGGAAAAUUGUUUCUCAGGCAAUGAAUAGCGGUUCGAUUCCGCUAUGCGCUACAA
rnacentral:tRNA from 5 species